rnacentral:rRNA from 1 species
AGUGAACGCUGGCGGUAGGCCUAACACAUGCAAGUCGAACGGCAGCACCGUAAGAGCUUGCUCUUCCGGGUGGCGAGUGGCGGACGGGUGAGGAAUACAUCGGAAUCUACUUUUUCGUGGGGGAUCACGUAGGGAAACUUACGCUAAUACCGCAUACGACCUACGGGUGAAAGCAGGGGAUCUUCGGACCUUGCGCGAUUGAAUGCGCCGAUGUCGGACUAGCUAGUUGGCGGGGUAAAGGCCCACCAAGGCGACGAUCCGUAGCUGGGCUGAGAGGAUGAUCAGCCCCACUGGAGCUGAGACACGGUCCAGACUCCUACGGGAGGCAGCAGUGGGGAAUAUUGGAAAAUGGGCGCAAGCCUGAUCCAGCCAUACCGCGUGGGUGAAGAAGGCCUUCGGGUUGUAAAGCCCUUUUGUUGGGAAAGAAAAGCAGCAGGUUAAUACCCCGCUGUUCUGACGGUACCCAAAGAAUAAGCACCGGCUAACUUCGU